UGGGGAAUUUUGGACAAUGGACGCAAGUCUGAUCCAGCCAUGCCGCGUGCGGGAAGAAGGCCUUCGGGUUGUAAACCGCUUUUGUCAGGGAAGAAACGAGUUUCUCUAAUACAGAGACUUAAUGACGGUACCUGAAGAAUAAGCACCGGCUAACUACGUGCCAGCAGCCGCGGUAAUACGUAGGGUGCAAGCGUUAAUCGGAAUUACUGGGCGUAAAGCGUGCGCAGGCGGUUAUAUAAGACAGAUGUGAAAUCCCCGGGCUCAACCUGGGAACUGCCUUUGUGACUGCAUAGCUAGAGUACGGUAGAGGGGGAUGGAAUUCCGCGUGUAGCAGUGAAAUGCGUAGAUAUGCGGAGGAACACCGAUGGCGAAAGCAAUCCCCUGGACCUGUACUGACGCUCAUGCACGAAAGCGUGGGGAGCAAACA
rnacentral:rRNA from 1 species